UACGUAGGUGGCAAGCGUUGUCCGGAUUUACUGGGUGUAAAGGGAGCGUAGGUGGCAUUGCAAGUCUGGUGUGAAAGCCCGGGGCUCAACCCCGGGAUUGCAUUGGAAACUGUGAUGCUAGAGUGCAGGAGAGGUAAGUGGAAUUCCUAGUGUAGCGGUGAAAUGCGUAGAUAUUAGGAGGAACACCAGUGGCGAAGGCGGCUUACUGGACUGUAACUGACACUGAGGCUCGAAAGCGUGGGGAGCAAAC
rnacentral:rRNA from 1 species